AGCGGAUUUGUGGCGGGGGGAGGAGGGCUGCGUGGGGGGCGUGAGUUAUUGUUUUUUGGCGUUUGUUCGAUCCAUUGUUAUCGCUGUUGGUAGUUGUUGAGUCCGCCAUGGUUGGAAGGAAGUUGUUCAAUGAGAGAAGGUGAAGGU
rnacentral:snRNA from 13 species